UACGUAGGUGGCAAGCGUUGUCCGGAAUUAUUGGGCGUAAAGCGCGCGCAGGCGGCCGCGUAAGUCUGAUGUGAAAGCCCGGGGCUCAACCCCGGCGUGCAUUGGAAACUGCGUGGCUUGAGUGCAGGAGAGGAAAGCGGAAUUCCACGUGGAGCGGUGAAAUGCGUAGAGAUGUGGAGGAACACCAGUGGCGAAGGCGGCUUUCUGGCCUGUAACUGACGCUGAGGCGCGAAAGCGUGGGGAGCAAACAGG
rnacentral:rRNA from 1 species